GCAUAUAUAUAACACUCAUAAUUUCAUAAUCACAACAUUAUCCUCUACUAGCUAGUAGCUCGAAGAAACACUUAGAACAUUGCAAAAGAAAUUAACUAAAGUAGUCCCUAAUCAGUUCUGGAUGGAAUUAAUUAAUGACCAACACCUGGGCUAUGGCCAGGAUAUGUGGGUCGAAAAGCAUCAAUGGAUUCUUCAUUGGUUUCAAAGCUUUCUUGCAUGUCAAUGUGGCUUGGACUUGAAUUAGUGUUUAUUCCUCUGCUAGGGAUUCUCGUGAGUCUCUUCCAGCCGUUGACAGGAUUAGAAGUAUUGAUGCAUCCUACACACUUCAACUCCCUUCCUUCGAUGCAAAUAAGAUUGUAAGAGAAUAGCAUUAGUAAGAAAAAGAAGCAAGUGCGAUCUACAUUGUUGGCCAUAUUAUGAGUAUUCAAAAAAGGCUUGAGAUUAAUUGCUUUCAAGCUUUUCUGAACUCAAGCUUAAGAGAGGCCGUAGAUGCUCAAAAUCAC
rnacentral:lncRNA from 1 species